UACAGAGGGGGCAAGCGUUGUUCGGAAUUACUGGGCGUAAAGGGCGCGUAGGCGGCCUUCUAAGUCGAACGUGAAAUCCCCGGGCUCAACCCGGGAACUGCGUCCGAUACUGGAAGGCUUGAAUCCGGGAGAGGGAUGCGGAAUUCCAGGUGUAGCGGUGAAAUGCGUAGAUAUCUGGAGGAACACCGGUGGCGAAGGCGGCAUCCUGGGACCGGCAUUGACGCUGAGGCGCGAAAGCGUGGGGAGCGAACGAG
rnacentral:rRNA from 1 species